rnacentral:rRNA from 2 species
UUGGAGGGCAAGUCUGGUGCCAGCAGCCGCGGUAAUUCCAGCUCCAAUAGCGUAUAUUAAAGUUGUUGCAGUUAAAAAGCUCGUAGUUGAAUUUCGGAAUUUUUUUAUCGGUUGAAUCAACAGGUUCGUACUGGUUUUAAGAAUUUCUACCUUCUGGAGAACCUUAAUGUCAUUAAUUUGGUGUUUUGGGAAACCAGGACUGUUACCUUGAAAAAAUUAGAGUGUUUAAAGCAGGCUUAUGUCUGAAUAUAUUAGCAUGGAAUAAUGAAAUAGGACGGCAUGGUUCUAUUUUGUUGGUUUCUAGGAUCACCGUAAUGAUUAAUAGGGAUAGUUGGGGGCAUUAGUAUUCAAUUGUCAGAGGUGAAAUUCUUGGAUUUAUUGAAGACUAACUUCUGCGAAAGCAUUUGCCAAGGAUGUUUUCAUUAAUCAAGAACGAAAGUUAGGGGAUCGAAGACGAUCAGAUACCGUCGUAGUCUUAACCAUAAACUAUGCCGACUAGGAAUCGGACGAAGUUAAUUUUUUAAUGACUCGUUCGGCGCCUUACGGGAAACCAAAGUGUUUGGGUUC